rfam:Ovis aries breed Texel chromosome 2, whole genome shotgun sequence.
UUCCCGGUGGUCCAGUGGUUAGGACUUGUCACUUUCACUGCCAAGGGCCUGGGUUCAAUUCCUAGCUGGGGAA